rnacentral:rRNA from 1 species
AUUGAACGCUGGCGGCAGGCUUAGCACAUGCAAGUCGAGCGGAGAUAAGGUGCUUGCACCUUAUCUUAGCGGCGGACGGGUGAGUAAUGCUUAGGAAUCUGCCUAUUAGUGGGGGACAACAUUCCGAAAGGAAUGCUAAUACCGCAUACGUCCUACGGGAGAAAGCAGGGGAUCUUCGGACCUUGCGCUAAUAGAUGAGCCUAAGUCGGAUUAGCUAGUUGGUGGGGUAAAGGCCUACCAAGGCGACGAUCUGUAGCGGGUCUGAGAGGAUGAUCCGCCACACUGGGACUGAGACACGGCCCAGACUCCUACGGGAGGCAGCAGUGGGGAAUAUUGGACAAUGGGGGGAACCCUGAUCCAGCCAUGCCGCGUGUGUGAAGAAGGCCUUAUGGUUGUAAAGCACUUUAAGCGAGGAGGAGGCUACUGAGACUAAUACCCUUGGAUAGUGGACGUUACUCGCAGAAUAAGCACCGGCUAACUCUGUGCCAGCCGCCGCGGUAAUAC